rnacentral:rRNA from 1 species
UCUGACACAGGUGCUGCAUGGCUGUCGUCAGCUCGUGUCGUGAGAUGUUGGGUUAAGUCCGUAACGAGCGCAACCCUUGUCCUUAGUUACCAGCACGUUAUGGUGGGCACUCUAAGGAGACUGCCGGUGACAAACCGGAGGAAGGUGGGGGAUGACGUCAAGUCAUCAUGGCCCUUACGGCCUGGGCUACACACGUGCUACAAUGGUCGGUACAAAGGGUUGCCAAGCCGCGAGGUGGAGCUAAUCCCAUAAAACCGAUCGUAGUCCGGAUCGCAGUCUGCAACUCGACUGCGUGAAGUCGGAAUCGCUAGUAAUCGUGAAUCAGAAUGUCACGGUGAAUACGUUCCCGGGCCUU